GUGAGAUUCAAAAUUUAAGGAGGUACCGAUAUCUCUGCAAUGAAGGGUGUAUAUUGGACCGGAGGAGGAGAAAAGGAAGCAGGCUGACCCAGAUGGAACGAUGGAAAAUUAAGAGACCAAAAAGAUGAAGAAUCUGUGUUGGAAACAGUACAGGAUGAAAAAGAAACACCAUGAGGAAACAUUGACUUGGGUGAUUCUUCUUGAACAAUGUGAAUAUUGAGUUGGAGCUGCAAGAAAAUGAUGAAGAUGAAUGGGAGAGAUUUGACCAAUAUAGUGUUCAUAUCAC
rnacentral:lncRNA from 1 species